AGAGUUUGAUCAUGGCUCAGAUUGAACGCUGGCGGCAGGCCUAACACAUGCAAGUCGAACGGUAGCACAGAGGAGCUUGCUCCUUGGGUGACGAGUGGCGGACGGGUGAGUAAUGUCUGGGAAACUGCCCGAUGGAGGGGGAUAACUACUGGAAACGGUAGCUAAUACCGCAUAACGUCGCAAGACCAAAGAGGGGGACCUUCGGGCCUCUUGCCAUCGGAUGUGCCCAGAUGGGAUUAGCUAGUAGGUGGGGUAACGGCUCACCUAGGCGACGAUCCCUAGCUGGUCUGAGAGGAUGACCAGCCACACUGGAACUGAGACACGGUCCAGACUCCUACGGGAGGCAGCAGUGGGGAAUAUUGCACAAUGGGCGCAAGCCUGAUGCAGCCAUGCCGCGUGUAUGAAGAAGGCCUUCGGGUUGUAAAGUACUUUCAGCGAGGAGGAAGGUGUUGUGGUUAAUAACCACAGCAAUUGACGUUACUCGCAGAAGAAGCACCGGCUAACUCCGUGCCAGCAGCCGCGGUAAUACGGAGGGUGCAAGCGUUAAUCGGAAUUACUGGGCGUAAAGCGCACGCAGGCGGUCUGUCAAGUCGGAUGUGAAAUCCCCGGGCUCAACCUGGGAACUGCAUCCGAAACUGGCAGGCUAGAGUCUUGUAGAGGGGGGUAGAAUUCCAGGUGUAGCGGUGAAAUGCGUAGAGAUCUGGAGGAAUACCGGUGGCGAAGGCGGCCCCCUGGACAAAGACUGACGCUCAUGUGCGAAAGCGUGGGAGCAAACAGGAUUAGAUACCCUGGUAGUCCAC
rnacentral:rRNA from 1 species